GGCCGGGCUGCUAACGUGACCCGUCUCCAAAGACCAACCGAUCCGCCUGAUUCACAGUCCUUGAGAUGAGAGGGAGAGACAGGACAUGCGUGAGCAGCCAGGGACACAGACGGCUGUCCAGUCCUUCUCUCUCUAUCCCACACUGGACUAGUCCCCAUGGCCUCUGAGGUCACUUAAGUCCACUGUGGAUGCCUGAUGGAUCAACCCGUGACCUCUUCCCACCCAGCAGCCUCCAAUGAGGAAGAAUCCUCCUGACCCGGAGGGUUGCUGCCUUGCUGGACACGGGUGGGGAGGCCAGAAACAGAGUCAAAAGCAGACAAGAGCCCUGGUGACGACUUCAGGCCUUCUGCCAUGGCCCUUGCCAUUCUGGGUGGGAACCGAGGCCUACCUGCAGAUGACUCAGUCAAUACUCCUGCAAUCUGGCCUUAUCCAAAGCCAUGGUGGCCAGGGAUC